rnacentral:rRNA from 1 species
UACGUAGGCAGCGAGCGUUGUUCGGAAUUACUGGGCGUAAAGAGCGUGUAGGCGGCCAGGUAGGUCUGCUGUGAAAACUCGAGGCUCAACCUCGAGACGUCGGCGGAAACCAUCUGGCUAGAGUCCGGAAGAGGAGAGUGGAAUUCCUGGUGUAGCGGUGAAAUGCGCAGAUAUCGGGAAGAACACCCGUGGCGAAGGCGGCUCUCUGGGACGGUACUGACGCUGAGACGCGAAAGCGUGGGGAGCGAACAGG